GCGGGAAGGAAGUGCCGUCCAUUUUGCGUAAAAUUUUUCAGAAACGACUGACUGAGCAAGUCAUGAAAAAGGGAAGAACACUUUUACAGGAAGAACGUACUGUUCUGAAUCACUCCAAAGAGAGGAAAGAAUGUAUCCUGCUACUUAUCCAGUCAUAAUCCCUCAUGACAUUUUAUAGUGCUAAGAGAAUGCGAAGCUGAACAAGCUACUUUACUUUUCUGGGCCUCCGGUUUACCUCCUACUUUCAUCUUGUCUAUUUAGAAUAUAAACUCUUUAGAGCAGAAGCUGUCUCUUACUAUGUAUUUACAAAGUGCCCCAGUUCUUUCAGUUUGGGCUUCUAGACACUGCUGUAAAACAAAUAAUAAUUCUAAGAAACCUCUACAUUUUGAAGAACCCUGAGAGUUUUAUACUGGUCAAUUUGAAGUUAAAUGAUUUAGAGGUAUAAUUUUCUGGUGGUGGGUGAUAUAAGGCAAUGAAGGAUUUGCUGUAUUUGAUAAAUACAUUGGAGAUAUUUGGUGGUAGUGUUAGGCAGUAACUAGCAACUGCCUUUUUAGUAGCUUCCAGAGA